UUGGAGGGCAAGUCUGGUGCCAGCAGCCGCGGUAAUUCCAGCUCCAAUAGCGUAUAUUAAAGUUGUUGCAGUUAAAAAGCUCGUAGUUGAACUUCGGGAUCAAUGGAUUGGUCAUGCCGAUGGUAUGUACUGGUCAUAUUGGUUCUCACCUUCUAAGGAACCAUAAUGUCAUUCAUUUGAUGUUUUGGGGAAUUAGGACUGUUACCUUGAAAAAAUUAGAGUGUUUAAAGCAGGCUAACGCUUGAAUACAUUAGCAUGGAAUAAUGAAAUAGGACAUCGCAUUCUAUUUUGUUGGUUUCUAGGAUCGAUGUAAUGAUUAAUAGGGAUAGUUGGGGGCAUUAGUAUUCAAUUGUCAGAGGUGAAAUUCUUGGAUUUAUUGAAGACUAACUACUGCGAAAGCAUUUGCCAAGGAUGUUUUCAUUAAUCAGGAACGAAAGUUAGGGGAUCGAAGACGAUCAGAUACCGUCGUAGUCUUAACCAUAAACUAUGCCGACUAGGGAUCGGAUGAUGUUGAUUUUUUAAUGACUCAUUCGGCGCCUUACGGGAAAC
rnacentral:rRNA from 1 species